rnacentral:misc_RNA from 1 species
GUGCGAUAAGUAAUGUGAAUUGCAGAAUUCCGUGAAUCAUCGAAUCUUUGAACGCAAAUUGCACUCUCUUCGGAGAGUAUGCCUGUUUGAGGGUCAGUAUUAAUAAAAAUCGGCGUGUUGCUCUUUUGUGACGUUCCGGAGUUUGAGUUAUCUUAACUCUACUGGGUUUUAAGAGGCUUAAAAUUGACCUUUUUUGUGCAUUUUAGACGUACAUAAAUUUUUUUUUUUAUUCGUCUAUCUUUAAUGCCAAAAUCUAUUAGAUGCGACCAUAUCAUGUGGCUUCGUGUCCAUAAAUUUUUCAUGAUUUGACCUCAAAUCAGGUAAGAACACCCGCUGAACUUAA